rnacentral:rRNA from 1 species
AGAGUUUGAUCCUGGCUCAGAAUAAAUGCUAUCGGUAUGCUUAACACAUGCAAGUCGAAUGUUUUAUAAACAUGGCGAACGGGUGAGUAACACGUGAAUUAUCUACCUUUUAAUUCAGGAUAAUUAUUUUUAUAAAAAUACUGAAUAAAUAAAAUAAAGUUUUAAUAACGUUAAAAGAUGAGUUUGCGCAAGAUUAUGGUAGUUGGUAGUUUAAUAGACUACCAAGCCUAUUAUCUUUAGCUGGUUUGAAAGAAUGAUCAGCCACAUUGGGACUGAGACACGGCCCAAACUUUUUUAAAGGCAGCAGUGGGGAAUUUUGGACAAUGAGCGGAAGCUUGAUCCAGCAAUACCGAGUGAGUGAAGAAGGCUAAUUAGGUUGUAAAACUCUUUCAUUAAGGAGGAAAAUGACAGUACUUAAAAAAGAAGUUCCGGCUAAUACCCGUGCCAGCAGCCGCGGUAAUACGGGAGGAGCGAGCAUUAUUCGGAAUGAUUAGGCGUAAAGGGUUUGUAGGUGGUUUUUUAAGUUGAAAGAAACAAAUUAGAGCUCAACUCUAUAAAUUUUUUCAAAACUGAUAAACUUGAGUAUAAAUAGAGGAUAAUGGAAUUUCUAUUGGAGUGAUAAAAUACGUUGAUAAUAGAAGGAAGACCUAUGGCGAAGGCAAUUAUCUGGGUAUAUACUGACACUGAGAAACGAAAGCUUGGGUAGCGAACGGGAUUAGAGACCCCGGUAGUCCAUGCUGUAAACGAUGAGUGCUAAUAUUUAGAAUUUUUAGAUAUAACAGCUAACGCGUUAAGCACUCCGCCUGAAAAGUAUAAUCGCAAGAUCGAAAUUCAAAGGAAUUGACGGGAGUCUACACAAGCGGUGGAGCAUGUGGUUUAAUUCGAUAAUACGCGCAGAACCUUACCAACUCUUGCUAAUUUUAAUAUAAAAUUUUAUAUUAAAAACAGGCGUUGCAUGGCUGUCGUCAGCUCGUGUUGUGAAAUGUUUGGUUAAAUCCUUUAACGAGCGCAACCCCUAUUAUUAGUUGCUAAUUUAUUAUAUAAAAUAAAAGCACUCUAAUAAAAAAAUUAAUGAUAGGUUAAUGGAAGGUGGGGAUGACGUCAAGUCUUCAUGGCCCUUAUGAGUUGGGCUACAC